AGACGACGCAGCGGCGGGAGAAAAGGGCGAGGAAGUAACGGCUGAAGACGGUUCUCCCCUUCAUUAGGGUCUGGACGUGUCUUCGUGGAUUUUGGCUUUCUUACAACGUACAGGUUGCCCGUUCCCUAAAGCCCUGGGACGGUCCUGAAUUGGAUUUGAUAUCGUGGGGAAAGAGUGUGGUUUGCAGGGAUCUGCGUAUGCCAUGAAUGUUGAAAAUGCUAAAAUACACCAUCUGACUUGGAAUCAACAAACCUGAGCAGGCCAAACAGGAAAGUGCAUAAAUGAGAUUUGGUUUGGAGAGAAGAAGACAGGAGACUUUCACACCGGAACAGGCUACCCACAGCCUAAACAACACACAGGAGCCAAGACAGCAAGAGGGUGAAGUGCUGGGAAGUGUUUACAUCUCCCUGCUCCAGAGAGUAUGACCUCACUAACUAUUCUAAAUACGGGAGAUAAGGCACUGCUGCUGUUGCUCACCCUUCUCUCAGAUAAAAUAAGCUGGUGCAUGAGGCACCAGAGCAUUUCUUGAAGGGUACAGGAAUACUAGACCAAAAUGCUGCUUUAAAUAAUUGUUCAUAAUGGAAAAGACAAACAGGUUGGCUUUCAAGAGUUUCCCCCACCCACUUGUCCUCAUUUUCCUCAAGUGCUGUCAGCUUCCAUGAGCUUUUCAAUGCUGCCACAAGUGCCCAAAUAAUAAUAAAAAAAGCUUCCAUAUAAGAACAUCCCUCUGGGCUGCUUGCCAAAGGCGACCAAUGACAGGGCCUGCAAGGAAGGAUGACCCAACAAACCACUAACAUGACUGACUGCCAGCAUGUGGGUUUCAUGACCAGCACCGCUGUGACGGAAACCCAUCCCCCAGGCAGACUGCCAAGUUGAAGAACAGGCUCAGCUGCUUAGAAAAGGGCUCAUUUAUUUUGUUCACAAAUGCGUUCUUAAACUAUGGGUUUUUAUGAAGUGAAUGUAAGCUGCCUUGAGAAUUUCCUGCUGAAAGGUAGGAUACACAACUGAAAUUAAGUAAAGAUAAAUAUCUUGCCCACUGCGUCUCUGGCGUCACAUCCGCACCACAUUUAAAACACAUGGCUUCCCCCCAAGUAUCCUGGAAACUAGCUUGCCCCUUACCAAGCUACAAUUCCCAGCACCCUUAACAAACUACAGCUCCCAUUACUACCAAGACUAAUGAUAGCGGAUAAUAGUUACGUAUUUUGUUCCUACAACUGUAUUGUGUGGAAAGCCGUUAUUACUCCUGUUUUACAAGUAGGAAAUAAAUACUGAAGUAUAACAAUGGGAUGAAGGCUACUCCAGUGGGCUCUUCUUUC